GGGGACAUUGCUCUCAUUAAAGUCAGUGGGGAAGGGGAGAACUGGAGUUUCUAUUCUUCCUGGCUCAAACACAAGAGGGAUGCAAAGGCUUCCCAUUUUUCCUUCUGGGCAAACUCGAUGGAAGGCCUCCACAUGUGCUGUGUCAGUGCAGGAGACAAUGCUGCAUCACGUCCCAGCCAGGAGUGUGUCUGACACACUGCAGCCAAAACCAGAGGUACAGCAGCAGCACCAACGUGCAGCUGAUCACAGGACUGUCCUGGACCACACCUGCGACUCCCAAUUCUGUCCCAAAACAGGACUUUUCUCUCACUCUGCCUUCAUGUGCUUUGGGGAGCUGUGGGUGACACAGUGGCUCAUGGUCUGGAGGAGAGGUGACGGUGCUGGGCUGCAAACCUCACAGAAGGAUAAGCAAAGAGCAUAGCUGGGGAUCAAAACUGGAGGCCAAAUAAAUGAAGGCUGACUUUCCCUUGCAGCAUGCAACUAACUGUGGAACUUAUCUCUGCAAGGCUUUGUCCCAAGUGCUAGAAGAUUCAGAAACAAGCCCAUGCAAGUAAAAAUCGUUAAAGGCUGUGUCGCAUUAAGAUGUUGAUAAGGGAAAAGCUGUGAUGGAUAAUGUGUGAGGAUGUGUAGGAUGUGUGAGGAUUUGUCUAUCCUUUCACAGCCUACAUGGUACAUGUAGAAGAUUAUGUUUUUAUUGAUAAGUUUAGUAUUUUGCAGGUAAGCCCUGCUCUUUCUUCUCUUGAUUUCAAUGGCUGAGUUUAUAAUGCAUAUCUAAUGAAAUAUUACAAUAAUUUUGCUGAUUUUCCUGCAAAAAAUAUGUUGGAUUUUAGUAUGCACUCAUUAUUCAUCUGCAUUCCGUUCCAUUCCAGUGGUAUGUGGACUUUCAGGUCAAACCAGAAAUCUUGUCACCCAUACAGCAGCGCCCUAAUCAAUGUUGCUGCUCUAAUCACAUGUAUGUAGAAAACAAAUUUCCAAAUAAUUAUUAGUCUGAGCUCAUUAUUUGGGUUCUGCAAAUAUUUGGCCACAGUCUUGCACUUGAUUCAGGGUUUACACAGCCUUGUGCAAACUGUUGAUCUGCCUUUUGAUGGUGGCUUAUCCCUUUAACAAUUUCUUAACUCAUUCCCUGCCUUAUGUUGCAUGGUCCUUACAUCUGUCCCCCCACUGUUCCUACAAUCUCCUACUCCCCAUCCCCCUUAAAGCCUCCACUCCUUCAGCCAUCAUGAAUCUCCUUCACCCUGCAUCCAUCCCUCUGAGGAAAAAAGUGCUGCAAAACUGCUUUUAAGUAACAGCCACAAAACUAUUUGAAAGGCUUUCUGGCUUUGUUGUUAGCUGGUCUCCCUUCUUUCUGAAGCUGCAGCUACUCCCAGCCACAGCCUGCUUGGAAGGGAGGAAAUACUGUGAGGUCUCGUCUCUGCAGAAGUAAAUGGGGAAUAUCUCAUUAUUUAAAAUGCAGUCAGGAUUUCAGCCUCAUAAAAAUAACACUGCAAUAAUCUCAGAGCUGGGGACAAAAAGUGUUUAAGGGGGUGGUAGGAAAAUUCAUCCUGCUUAAAUUAGGCCAGAUUUCAGUCAGUCUCCAGAGGUUCAGAGAGCUUGAAUAAAUGCUGGGUACUUUCUGGCCCUCUUGAUGUGUGUUGGCAAUAGGCUUUAACUCUGCACAUCACUCAUCUUGACAACUGCAGUCCAACAAAGUUACCUCGCAAUUCAGGUCACCCGAUGGCAUCCUAAUGCAUCACUUUCCCACUUGGAACAUUAGUCAUCACUUGAUCCAGGGAAGGUUUUGAAAACAGUGUGACUGUCGGCAUUGGGGUAUCUGUUCUCUCCAUAACAGAGAGCCCGUGUCAGCUAAUGAACAAGGGGAUAUUGAUCAGAAAUCCAUUGCUUGAUUGACAGCUCUUGGCAAUGUGAAAAACUGCAGAUGAAAGCUUGCACAGUUUAAAAGAUCACCCAGACCUCAAAGCUGAUUUGAAGCUUUAAAAGUCAAUCUCUGUCUAUCAAUUAUGGGGGGAUUUUUUGUACUACACAGAGGAAAGUUAUUCUUUGAAAAUUUGCAUGCAGGAUGUCUAAUUUAAUUUCAUGUAAUAGUCACAUUUCAGUGACAAAUGUCAGAUCACUGCUUUUUUAAGCAUGUUAAGGUUUUCCAGCACUUACAAAGAAUGAACACUCUGAUUUAGUAAUAUGUUUAAAUCAACCAGUGUAUCAGACUUUGUGCUUUAAUUAUGUGCUCAGAUAAAAAAAGUGUUGUUUUUGCUUUACUAAAC